rnacentral:rRNA from 1 species
UACCCGCAGCACAAGUGGUGGUCAUUAUUAUUGGGCCUAAAGCGUCCGUAGCUGGCGUGUUAGAUGCCUGGGUAAAUCGAUGCGCUCAACGCAUCGAAUUCCGGGUAGACCGGCACGCUCGAGACCGGGAGAGGCGUAGGGUACUCGGGGGGUAGGGUUAAAAUCCUGUAAUCCUCCGGGGACGACCAGUGGCGAAGGCGCUACGCUAGAACGGCUCUGACAGUGAGGGACGAAGCCCUGGGGCGCAAACCGG